GACAGACAGUCGCAUCUUCUCUCACAUCACCAGCCGCGUCCCUGAGGCACCAUGGUGAAGGUGAAGGUAGGAGUCAACGGAUUGGGUCAUAUUGGGCGCCUGGUCACGAGGGCUGCUUUUAACUUUGGUAAAGUGGAUAUGGUCGCCAUCAAUGACCCCUUCAUUGACCUCAACUACAUGGUCUACAUGUUGCCGUAUGAUUCCACCCAUGGCAAAUCCCAUGGCACCAUCAAGGCUGAGAACAGGAAGCCUGUCAUUAAUGGAAAUCCCAUCACCAUCCUCCAGGAGCGAGAUCCUUCCAAAAUAAAGUGGGGCGAUGCUGGCGCUGAGUACAUUGUGGAGUCCACCGGUGUCUUCACCCCCAUGGAGAAGGCUGGGGCUCACUUGCAGGAAGCAGUCAAAAGGGUUAUCAUCUCUGCCCCCUCUGCUGACGCCCCCAUGUUUGUGAUGGGCGUGAACCAUGAGAAGUACGACAACAGCCUCAAGAUCGUCAGCAAUGCCUCCUGCACUAACCGCUUAGCGCCCCUGGUCAAGGUCAUCCAUGACAACUUCGGUAUCGUGGAAGGACUCAUGACCACAGUACACGCCAUCACUGUCACCCAGAAGACUGUGGAUGGCCCCUCCAGAAACUGUGGCGUGACAGCUGCAGGGCUCUCCAGAACAUCAUCCCUGGCUCUACUGGCGCUGCCGAGGCUGUGAGCAAGGUCAUCCCUGAGCUGAAUGGGAAGCUCACUGGCAUGGCCUUCCAUGUCCCCACUGCCAACGUGUCAGUCAUGGACGUGACUUGCCAUCUGGAAAAACCUGCCAGAUAUGAUGACAUCAAGAAGGUGUGAAGCAGGCAUUGGAGGGGGCCCCCUCAAGGGCAUCCUGGGCUACACUGAGCACCAGGUGGUUUCCUCUGACUUCAACAGCAACACUCACUCUUCCACCUUCAAUGCUGAGGCUGGCACUUUGUCAAGCUCAUUUCCUGGUAUGACAGUGAAUCUGGCUACAGCAACAGGGUGGUGGACUUCAUGGCCCACAUGGCCUCUAAGAAGUAA